rnacentral:rRNA from 1 species
UACGAAGGUGGCGAGCGUUGUUCGGAAUCACUGGGCAUAAAGGGCGCGUAGGCGGUGCCGUAAGCGGCGGGUGAAAUUCCAGGGCUCAACCCUGGAACUGCACGCCGGACUGCGGUGCUUGAGUGCGGGAGGGGGGUGUGGAACUCUAGGUGGAGCGGUGAAAUGCGUAGAUAUCUAGAGGAACACCGGUGGCGAAAGCGACACCCUGGUCCGCAACUGACGCUGAGGCGCGAAAGCGUGGGUAGCAAACAGG